rnacentral:rRNA from 1 species
AGAGUUUGAUCAUGGCUCAGGACGAACGCUGGCGGCGUGCUUAACACAUGCAAGUCGAGGGGCAGCACGGGUAGCAAUACCUGGUGGCGACCGGCAAACGGGUGCGGAACACGUACGCAACUUUCCUUCAACUGAGGAAUAGCCCAGGGAAACUUGGAUUAAUACCUCGUAAUAUUAUGAAGUGGCAUCACUUUAUAAUUAUAGCUCAGGCGGUUGAAGAUGGGCGUGCGCCUGAUUAGCUAGUUGGUGGGGUAACGGCCCACCAAGGCGACGAUGCAUAGCUGGUCUGAGAGGAUGAUCAGCCACACUGGGACUGAGACACGGCCCAGACUCCUACGGGUGGCAGCAGUUUCGAAUCAUUCACAAUGGGCGAAAGCCUGACGCAGCGACGCCGCGUGAGCGAUGAAGGCCUUCGGGUUGUAAAGCUCUGUGGGGAGGGAAGAAUAAGGGCUGGCUAAUAUCCAGCCUGAUGACGGUACCUCCUUAGCAAGCACCGGCUAACUCUGUGCCAGCAGCCGCGGUAAUACAGAGGGUGCAAACGUUGUUCGGAAUUACUGGGCGUAAAGCGCGUGCAGGCGGCCUUGCAAGUCGGACGUGAAAUCCCAUGGCUCAACCAUGGAAGUGCAUUCGAAACUGCGAGGCUGGAGUCCUGGAGAGGAAGGUGGAAUACUCGGUGUAGAGGUGAAAUUCGUAGAUAUCGAGUGGAACACCGGUGGCGAAGGCGGCCUUCUGGACAGGUACUGACGCUGAGACGCGAAAGCGUGGGGAGCAAACAGGAUUAGAUACCCCAGUAGUCC